AUCUUUUCUGGUUCAUAAGUGUGAUGAAUGUGCAUUAACUCCCCUUGCGUGACACAUGCAUCCCACAAACCUUGUUAGGGUGUCACCAUAUUAUACAUCCAGCA